UCAGUUCAGAUUGCAGGCUGCAACCCGCCUGCAUGAAGUCGGAAUUGCUAGUAAUCGCGGAUCAGCAUGCCGCGGCGAAUACGUUCCCGGGCCUUGUACACACCGCCCGUCACACCAUGGGAGCCGGUAAUACCCGAAGUCAGUAGUCCAACCUCGUGAGGACGCUGCCGAAGGUAGGAUUGGCGACUGGGGUGAAGUCGUAACAAGGUACC
rnacentral:rRNA from 1 species